rnacentral:rRNA from 1 species
GACGAACGCUGGCGGCGUGCUUAACACAUGCAAGUCGAACGGAAAGGCCCUGCUUUUGUGGGGUGCUCGAGUGGCGAACGGGUGAGUAACACGUGAGUAACCUGCCCUUGACUUUGGGAUAACUUCAGGAAACUGGGGCUAAUACCGGAUAGGAGCUCCUGCUGCAUGGUGGGGGUUGGAAAGUUUCGGCGGUUGGGGAUGGACUCGCGGCUUAUCCGCUUGUUGGUGGGGUAGUGGCUUACCCAGGCUUUGACGGGUAGCCGGCCUGGGAGGGUGACCGGCCACAUUGGGACUGAGAUACGGCCCAGACUCCUACGGGAGGCAGCAGUGGGGAAUAUUGCACAAUGGGCGGAAGCCUGAUGCAGCAACGCCGCGUGCGGGAUGACGGCCUUCGGGUUGUAAACCGCUUUCGCCUGUGACGAAGCGUGAGUGACGGUAAUGGGUAAAGAAGCACCGGCUAACUACGU